GAUGAACGCUAGCUACAGGCUUAACACAUGCAAGUCGAGGGGAAACGACAUUGAAAGCUUGCUUUUGAUGGGCGUCGACCGGCGCACGGGUGAGUAACGCGUAUCCAACCUGCCCACCACUUGGGGAAACCUUGCGAAAGUAAGACUAAUACCCAAUAAUAUCUCUAGAAGACAUCUGAAAGGGAUUAAAGAUUUAUCGGUGAUGGAUGGGGAUGCGUCUGAUUAGCUUGUUGGCGGGGUAACGGCCCACCAAGGCGACGAUCAGUAGGGGUUCUGAGAGGAAGGUCCCCCACAUUGGAACUGAGACACGGUCCAAACUCCUACGGGAGGCAGCAGUGAGGAAUAUUGGUCAAUGGACGAGAGUCUGAACCAGCCAAGUAGCGUGCAGGAUGACGGCCCUAUGGGUUGUAAACUGCUUUUAUAAGGGAAUAAAGUGAGUCUCGUGAGACUUUUUGCAUGUACCUUAUGAAUAAGGACCGGCUAAUUCCGUGCCAGCAGCCGCAGUAA
rnacentral:rRNA from 1 species